CCGUUACGAUGGUUAACUAUGAACCAGGUCAGGACAGGAAUGUAGCAGCCUUAAGUAUCUUAGUCAUGUGUGACGGUUUU
rnacentral:SRP_RNA from 1 species